UACGUAGGGGCGAGCGUUGUCCGGAAUUACUGGGCGUAAAGAGCUCGUAGGUGGUUUGUCACGUCGUCUGUGAAAUUCCGGGGCUUAACCUCGGGCGUGCAGGCGAUACGGGCAAUACUUGAGUGCUGUAGGGGAGACUGGAAUUCCUGGUGUAGCGGUGAAAUGCGCAGAUAUCAGGAGGAACACCAAUGGCGAAGGCAGGUCUCUGGGCAGUUACUGACGCUGAGGAGCGAAAGCAUGGGUAGCGAACAGGAUUAGAUA
rnacentral:rRNA from 1 species